ACAAAAAUGGCAGAUAAGUGCAUUAGAUUUAGACUCUAAAUAUAAAGAUACUUCUUUUUUUUGUA
rnacentral:tRNA from 1 species